rnacentral:rRNA from 1 species
AGCUCCAAUAGCGUAUAUUAAAGUUGUUGCAGUUAAAAAGCUCGUAGUCUGACCCUUGGCGGGCAUCGAACGUCCGUGGCGAAUGUCACGCGCACGUCACAUGCUCUUGCCAUGUACUUCGGAGGAACGCGUGUGCUUUUCAUUAAGCGUGCGUCGGGAUUCCGAUAGUUUACUUUGAGAAAAAUAGAGUGUUCAAAGCAGGCAACUUCGCCUUGAAUACAUUAGCAUGGGAUAAUGAAAUAGGACAUUGGUUCUAUUUUGAUGGUUUAAGGACCGAUGUAAUGAUUAAUAGGGACAGUUGGGGACAUUCAUAUUCCAUGGCUAGAGGUGAAAUUCUUGGAUUCAUGGAAGAUGAACUACUGCGAAAGCAUUUGUCAAAGAUGUUUUCAUUGAUCAAGAA